CCUACGGGUGGCUGCAGUAGGGAAUCUUGCGCAAUGGGGGAAACCCUGAAGGAGCAACGCCGCGUGGGGGAUGAAGGUUUUCGGAUUGUAAACUCCUUUUGUUAGAGAAGAUAGUGACGGUAUCUAACAACUAAGCACCGGCUAACUCCGUGCCAGCAGACGCGGAAAUACGGAGGGUGCAAGCGGUACUCGGAAUCACUGGGCGUAAAGAGCGCGGAGGCGGGAUAGCAAGUCAGAUGUGAAAUACUAUGGAUUAACCAUAGAACGGAAUUUGAAACUGUUAUUCUAGAGUAUGGGAGAGGUAGGUGGAAUUCUUGGUGUAGGGGUAAAAUCCGUAGAGAUAAAGAGGAAUACUCAUGGCGAAGGCGACCUGCUAGAACAUAACUGACGCUGAGGCGCGAAAGCGUGGGGAGCAAACAGGAUUAGAUACCCGGGUAGUC
rnacentral:rRNA from 1 species